rnacentral:rRNA from 1 species
GGAGGGUCCGAGCGUUAUCCGGAAUCAUUGGGUUUAAAGGGUCCGCAGGCGGUCAAUUAAGUCAGAGGUGAAAUCCCAUAGCUUAACUAUGGAACUGCCUUUGAUACUGGUUGACUUGAGCUAUAUGGAAGUAGAUAGAAUGUGAUGUGUAGCGGUGAAAUGCAUAGAUAUUACACAGAAUACCGAUUGCGAAGGCAGCUCACUAU